rnacentral:rRNA from 1 species
AGUCGAGCGGUAGCACAGAGAGCUUGCUCUCGGGUGACGAGCGGCGGACGGGUGAGUAAUGUCUGGGAAACUGCCUGAUGGAGGGGGAUAACUACUGGAAACGGUAGCUAAUACCGCAUAACGUCGCAAGACCAAAGUGGGGGACCUUCGGGCCUCAUGCCAUCAGAUGUGCCCAGAUGGGAUUAGCUAGUAGGUGGGGUAACGGCUCACCUAGGCGACGAUCCCUAGCUGGUCUGAGAGGAUGACCAGCCACACUGGAACUGAGACACGGUCCAGACUCCUACGGGAGGCAGCAGUGGGGAAUAUUGCACAAUGGGCGCAAGCCUGAUGCAGCCAUGCCGCGUGUGUGAAGAAGGCCUUCGGGUUGUAAAGCACUUUCAGCGGGGAGGAAGGCGUUAAGGUUAAUAACCUUGGCGAUUGACGUUACCCGCAGAAGAAGCACCGGCUAACUCCGUGCCAGCAGCCGCGGUAAUACGGAGGGUGCAAGCGUUAAUCGGAAUUACUGGGCGUAAAGCGCACGCAGGCGGUCUGUCAAGUCGGAUGUGAAAUCCCCGGGCUCAACCUGGGAACUGCAUUCGAAACUGGCAUGCUAGAGUCUUGUAGGGGGUAGAAUUCCAGGUGUAGCGGUGAAAUGCGUAGAGAUCUGGAGGAAUACCGGUGGCGAAGGCGGCCCCCUGGACAAAGACUGACGCUCAGGUGCGAAAGCGUGGGGAGCAAACAGGAUUAGAUACCCUGGUAGUCCACGCCGUAAACGAUGUCGAUUUGGAGGUUGUGCCCUUGAGGCGUGGCUUCCGGAGCUAACGCGUUAAAUCGACCGCCUGGGGAGUACGGCCGCAAGGUUAAAACUCAAAUGAAUUGACGGGGGCCCGCACAAGCGGUGGAGCAUGUGGUUUAAUUCGAUGCAACGCGAAGAACCUUACCUGGUCUUGACAUCCACAGAACUUUCCAGAGAUGGAUUGGUGCCUUCGGGAACUGUGAGACAGGUGCUGCAUGGCUGUCGUCAGCUCGUGUUGUGAAAUGUUGGGUUAAGUCCCGCAACGAGCGCAACCCUUAUCCUUUGUUGCCAGCGGUUAGGCCGGGAACUCAAAGGAGACUGCCAGUGAUAAACUGGAGGAAGGUGGGGAUGACGUCAAGUCAUCAUGGCCCUUACGACCAGGGCUACACACGUGCUACAAUGGCAUAUACAAAGAGAAGCGACCUCGCGAGAGCAAGCGGACCUCAUAAAGUAUGUCGUAGUCCGGAUUGGAGUCUGCAACUCGACUCCAUGAAGUCGGAAUCGCUAGUAAUCGUAGAUCAGAAUGCUACGGUGAAUACGUUCCCGGGCCUUGUACACACCGCCCGUCACACCAUGGGAGUGGGUUGCAAAAGAAGUAGGUAGCUUAACCUUCGGGAGGGCGC